rnacentral:rRNA from 1 species
CCUACGGGAGGCUGCAGUGGGGAAUAUUGGACAAUGGGGGAAACCCUUAUCCAGCGACGCCGCGUGAGGGAAUACGGCCCUACGGGUUGUAAACCUCUUUUGUCAGGGAGCAAGGUGCAGGUCGGGACCUGCUGUGAGAGUACCUGAAGAAAAAGCAUCGGCUAACUCCGUGCCAGCAGCCGCGGUAAUACGGAGGAUGCGAGCGUUAUCCGGAUUUAUUGGGUUUAAAGGGUGCGCAGGCGGAGGCACAAGUCAGCGGUAAAAUCGCGGGGCUCAACCCCGCUCCGCCGUUGAAACUGUGUCCCUUGAGUGCGCGAAGGGUAGGCGGAAUGCGUGGUGUAGCGGUGAAAUGCAUAGAUAUCACGCAGAACUCCGAUCGCGAAGGCAGCCUACCGGCGCGCAACUGACGCUCAUGCACGAAAGCGUGGGUAUCGAACAGGAUUAGAUACCCUGGUAGUC